GAUGAACGCUGGCGGCGUGCCUAAUACAUGCAAGUCGAGCGAACGGACGAGAAGCUUGCUUUUCUGAUGUUAGCGGCGGACGGGUGAGUAACACGUGGAUAACCUACCUAUAAGACUGGGAUAACUUCGGGAAACCGGAGCUAAUACCGGAUAAUAUUUUGAACCGCAUGGUUCAAAAGUGAAAGACGGUCUUGCUGUCACUUAUAGAUGGAUCCGCGCUGCAUUAGCUAGUUGGUAAGGUAACGGCUUACCAAGGCAACGAUGCAUAGCAGACCGGAGAGGGUGAUCGGCCACACUGGAACUGAGACACGGUCCAGACUCCUACGGGAGGCAGCAGUAGGGAAUCUUCCGCAAUGGGCGAAAGCCUGACGGAGCAACGCCGCGUGAGUGAUGAAGGUCUACGGAUCGUAAAACUCUGUUAUUAGGGAAGAACAUAUGUGUAAGUAACUGUGCACAUCUUGACGGUACCUAAUCAGAAAGCCACGGCUAACUACGUG
rnacentral:rRNA from 1 species